GACGAACGCUGGCGGCGUGCUUAACACAUGCAAGUCGAACGGAAAGGCCCUGCUUUUGUGGGGUGCUCGAGUGGCGAACGGGUGAGUAACACGUGAGUAACCUGCCCUUGACUUUGGGAUAACUUCAGGAAACUGGGGCUAAUACCGGAUAGGAGCUCCUGCUGCAUGGUGGGGGUUGGAAAGUUUCGGCGGUUGGGGAUGGACUCGCGGCUUAUCAGCUUGUUGGUGGGGUAGUGGCUUACCAAGGCUUUGACGGGUCGCCGGCCUGAGAGAGUGACCGGCCACAUUGGGACUGAGGUACGGCCCAGACUCCUACGGGGGGCAGCAGUGGGGAAUAUUGCACAAUGGGCGGAAGCCUGAUGCAGCAACGCCGCGUGCGGGAUGACGGCCUUCGGGUUGUAAACCGCUUUCGCCUGUGACGAAGCGUGAGUGACGGUAAUGGGUAAAGAAGCACCGGCUAACUACGUG
rnacentral:rRNA from 1 species